rnacentral:rRNA from 4 species
AUUCCCCCAGUAGCGGCGAGCGAACGGGGAGGAGCCCAGAGCCUGAAUCAGCAUGUGUGUUAGUGGAAGCGUCUGGAAAGGCGCGCGAUACAGGGUGACAGCCCCGUACACAAAAGCGCAUGUGCUGUGAGCUCGAUGAGUAGGGCGGGACACGUGGUAUCCUGUCUGAAUAUGGGGGGACCAUCCUCCAAGGCUAAAUACUCCUGACUGACCGAUAGUGAACCAGUACCGUGAGGGAAAGGCGAAAAGAACCCCGGCGAGGGGAGUGAAAAAGAACCUGAAACCGU